rnacentral:rRNA from 1 species
AUCGAUAACCGCUGAAAGCAUCUAAGCGGGAAGCGAGCCCUGAGAUGAGUCAUCCCUGACCCCUUGAGGGUCCUAAAGGGCCGUUGGAGACCACAACGUUGAUAGGUGGGGUGUGUAAGCGCGGCGACGUGUUGAGCUAACCCAUACUAAUUACCCGUGAGGCUUAACCAU